GAAAGUACAUAAGGGCACACGGGGGAUGUCUAGGCUCUCAGAGGCGAAGAAGGACGUGAUAAGCUGCGAUAAGCCGCGGGGAUUGGCAAAUGCGAACCGAUCCGCGGAUUUCCGAAUGGGGCAACCUGCCAUACUGAAGGUAUGGCGUCCGGCAUUGCCGGAAGCGAACGCGCUGAACUGAAACAUCUAAGUAGGCGUAGGAGGAGAAAAUAACAAUGAUUUCCCAAGUAGUGGCGAGCGAACGGGAAAGAGCCCAAACCGUGUAUGUUACGGCAUAUGCGGGGUUGUAGGACCACGUUAUGUGAUCCGCCGAGCGAAGUGGAACCGGAUGGGAAGCCGGGCGAUACGGGUGAUAGCCCCGUACACGUAAGCGGAGCGGCGCUAGUGGUAUCCUGAGUACCGCGGGACCGGAGAAAUCCUGUGGGAAUCCGGCGGCACCAUCCGCCAAGGCUAAAUACUCCUGAGAGACCGAUAGUGGACCAGUACCGUGAGGGAAAGAUGAAAAGAACCCCGAACAGGGGAGUGAAAAGAACCUGAAACCGUGUGCUUACAAUCGGUCGGAGCUGCUUUGUGCAGUGACGGCGUGCCUUUUGCAUAAUGAGCCUACGAGUUACACUUUACCGGCAAGGUUAAGUCCUUCAGGGACGCAGCCGAAGCGAAAGCGAGUCUUAACAGGGCGGAGAGUCGGUAGAGGUAGACGCGAAACCUUGUGAUCUACCCUUGGGCAGGUUGAAGGUUGGGUAACACCAACUGGAGGACCGAACCGAUAAACGUUGAAAAGUUUCCGGAUGACCUGAGGGUAGGGGUGAAAGGCCAAUCAAACUGGGAAAUAGCUCGUACUCCCCGAAAUGUUUUUAGGAACAGCGUGGGCAUUUAGUAUGAUAGAGGUAGAGCUACCGAUUGGGUGCGGGGGAGUCAAAUCCUACCAAAUCCAGACGAACUCCGAAUGCUAUCAUAUAUGGCCUGCAGUGAGGCCCUGGGUGCUAAGGUCCAGGGCCGAGAGGGAAAGAACCCAGACCAUCAGCUAAGGUCCCCAAAUGUGCGCUAAGUUGGACUAACGAGGUCCGGUUGCCCAGACAGCUAGGAUGUUGGCUUGGAAGCAGCCAUCCAUUUAAAGAGUGCGUAACAGCUCACUAGUCGAGCGGCCGGGCGUGGAUAAUAAACGGGCAUCAAGCACACUACCGAAGCUAUGGAUUCAUGCUGGCAACAGUAUGUCUGGUAGGGGAGCAUUCCAUCGGGGGCGAAGCAUCACGGCGAUGUGGUGUGGACCUUAUGGAAAAGCAAAUGUAGGCAUAAGUAACGAUAAGGCGGGUGGGAAACCCGCCCACCGAAAGACCAAGGUUUCCUGAUCAACGCUAAUCGGAUCAGGGUUAGUCGGGGCCUAAGGCGCAUCCGAAUGGAGGCAGCCGAUGGACAACGGGUCAAUAUUCCCGUACUUUUCAAUAUUGCGAUGUGGUGACGGAGUAGUGACACUGCCGCGGACUGACGGAAUAGUCCGUUGAAGGGCGUAGGUAUAGGGACCGUAGGCAAAUCCGCGGACCCUGCUGAAACCCGAUAGUACUGCAAAGCUUCGGCUGCGCAGAUAGUGCAGGUAAUCAGACUUCCGAGAAAACCCGCUAAGCUCCAGAUAUUGAAAACCCGUACCGCAAACCGACACAGGUGGUCGAGGAGAGGAUCCUAAGGUGCUCGAGUGAAUCAUGGCUAAGGAACUCGGCAAAAUGGCCCUGUAACUUCGGGAGAAGGGGCGCUUCCUUACAGCAAUGUAAGAAGCCGCAGUGAAAAGGCCCAGGCGACUGUUUAACAAAAACAUAUGGCUUUGCGAAAUCGCAAGAUGAAGUAUAAGGCCUGACACCUGCCCGGUGCCGGAAGGUUAAGAGGGGAUGUCAUCUGUUAAAGGAGAAGCAUUGAAUCGAAGCCCCGGUAAACGGCGGCCGUAACUAUAACGGUCCUAAGGUAGCGAAAUUCCUUGUCGGGUAAGUUCCGACCUGCACGAAUGGUGUAACGAUCUGGGCGCUGUCUCAGCCAUGAGCUCGGUGAAAUUGU
rnacentral:rRNA from 1 species